CGCGUAGGCGGACUAUUAAGUCAGGGGUGAAAUCCCGGGGCUCAACCCCGGAACUGCCUUUGAUACUGGUAGUCUAGAGUUCGAGAGAGGUGAGUGGAAUUCCGAGUGUAGAGGUGAAAUUCGUAGAUAUUCGGAGGAACACCAGUGGCGAAGGCGGCUCACUGGCUCGAUACUGACGCUGAGGUGCGAAAGUGUGGGGAGCAAACA
rnacentral:rRNA from 1 species